GUGAGUGCCUCUCGGGAUGUGGCCAAGUCUGAGUGAGACUGGCCAGCAAAGAAUAAGGUCUCCGAAUCCACCGGAGCCUCAGUUGCCUUGCUGGGCUUGCUGGCUGCCUGGCUUCUAGGAGCAGAGGAGGCUACAGAGCAGCGAGGCUGCACUACAACCACCAGAACCACCUUUCGGCCCAAAGGAACAUUGGACGCUACCACCUACCAGCGACGUGACCCUGAGCAAAUUGCCAGUGCCCUAUUUCUGCCUCUGCAGCUAGGGCAGGUUCCCAGAAGAUGAAAG
rnacentral:lncRNA from 1 species